CACGUAGGGUGCGAGCGUUGUCCGGAAUUAUUGGGCGUAAAGAGCUCGUAGGCGGUGUGUCGCGUCGGCCGUGAAAACCUGCAGCUUAACUGUGGGCUUGCGGUCGAUACGGGCAUCACUGGAGUUCGGCAGGGGAGACUGGAAUUCCUGGUGUAGCGGUGAAAUGCGCAGAUAUCAGGAGGAACACCGGUGGCGAAGGCGGUUCUCUGGGCCUUACCUGACACUGAGGAGCGAAAGCGUGGGGAGCGAACAGG
rnacentral:rRNA from 1 species